GUGGAUUUCAAAUGUUCAGGCGGGUUUUCUAAUUUUCUUGAUGUAAACAUGGCAGCCAUGGUGAUUUAACCUUCUGAAGAUUCCUAUUGUUUUGCUGGAUAUAAUCAGGAUCUCUCAUGGUUUGAAGAUGGCUUUUUAUUCAAUGGCGAGGGAGAAAACAAGAUCUGAAAGUAACAGUUGGAGCAUAUAAAGCAGACCUUACCCUCAUAGAUUGUGUGACGUCAUAGUUGCUGGACAGAAUACAUUUGGAUCUGACUGGGAAAAAAGGCAUCAUCAAUCCAGCAAGUUGAGUCUGUGUUAAUAACCAUGGACAUAAAACUCACA